AUUGAACGCUGGCGGCAGGCCUAACACAUGCAAGUCGGACGGUAGCACAGAGAGCUUGCUCUUGGGUGACGAGUGGCGGACGGGUGAGUAAUGUCUGGGGAUCUGCCCGAUAGAGGGGGAUAACCACUGGAAACGGUGGCUAAUACCGCAUAACGUCACAAGACCAAAGAGGGGGACCUUCGGGCCUCUCACUAUCGGAUGAACCCAGAUGGGAUUAGCUAGUAGGCGGGGUAAUGGCCCACCUAGGCGACGAUCCCUAGCUGGUCUGAGAGGAUGACCAGCCACACUGGAACUGAGACACGGUCCAGACUCCUACGGGAGGCAGCAGUGGGGAAUAUUGCACAAUGGGCGCAAGCCUGAUGCAGCCAUGCCGCGUGUAUGAAGAAGGCCUUCGGGUUGUAAAGUACUUUCAGCGGGGAGGAAGGCGGUACGGUUAAUAACCGUACCGAUUGACGUUACCCGCAGAAGAAGCACCGGCUAACUCCGAGCCAGCCGCCGCAGUAA
rnacentral:rRNA from 1 species